rnacentral:lncRNA from 1 species
CAUCAUUACUGCAUCCACACUGCAUUUGCUGUGUAUAAGAUUCAAGGCAGGAAGUCACCAAUACCCAACAGUAUCCAAUAGUGUCCAACAGUGUCCAACAGUAUCCAAUUGUGUCCAACAGUAUCCAAUAGUGUCCAACAGUGUCCAACAGUGCCUUCUGCUGGAGUUUGACGAUGCCCCUCGAUCUGUGCUUCCCAACGCCGCUAGGCUGCCGCCGUCAACCUACAGAUCCAUACAAUGAUGCGCAUGACCCUGACCAGUUCCUAACCAGUGUCCCACUCGUGUCCUGUGUAUGUCUCCUCUCCUGGCGUCCUUUGGAGGAUUGGGAUGGGGAUGUGCAUCACAUCGCUGAGUUGGACCGGGACCCCUGCCCUGUUCCUAUACCUCUGCAUGUUUCUGACCUGCCUGAUGAGCGCAGCCACGUCCAUCUCCUCUCCUGGCGUCCUCUGGAGGAUGUGGCUGCACCAGGACCAGAUGUGCCUCACGUGGCUGAGGUGGUGUCUGCACCAGGACCAGAUGUGCUUCACGUGGCUGAGGUGGUACCUGCAGUGGCACCAGAUAUGCCUCCUGUAGCCGAGACAGAGAUGGAGCCUCUUCCUCCGCCUUCUUAUAGUUCGCUGGAUCUGCCCCCUCCUUACCCAAUGGACCUUCAGCCUGCAGUGGAAGGCUUUGACCAGCAGGGGGCACCACCUUCAUAUUCAGAGGUAUUUUUCUCCCAUCACCAAUUAUAUCCUCAAUACUCGUCAGUGGCUGACCAUCCAACACCGCAAGUGGAGCUGCCCUACCCCCAAACACACCCUCUCCAGGUCACCAUUUUCUAGGGAUGCCAAUGUUGGCUGCCAUCACACCCGGGCCACUGUACAGACAAUAUAACUGGCAGCAUUGUUAAGAGCAAAUUAAGGAACCCUUUCUAUGAAGUACAGUGAAGACAAAAUGGCAUCAGGUUUCUUUGUUUUGUUUUUGGACUGUUUUUGGACUCAGUGAAAAACAAGGACAUUGGUUGACGUCCAGGAACAGCAGACGGCGGUGUUUGCGUCUUCAGCUUCCGAAAUAAAGCUGAUCUCUGGUGCA